ACAGUGCGAUCUAAUAGAAUUACAUGAGACAGUCUUAUGGUGAAAUAGAUCGCCACCUUAGUCCUCUGCAGGCACGGGCUAACUAUUUUAAUCCCAUUGACGCAGUAGGAGACCAGGCUAGUUAAAGGGAUUAGAUUAGCAGCCAGGGGAGGUUAUAAAUGGACGUUAAGGUACGGAUCAGGAGAGGACUCAGACAGGACGUAACCGAUCAAGUCCUGCAACGUGUUGGUGAGGACAGAGAGAUCCAGAUACCUAACGCAGAGGCUGUAGCAGUCAUACCGAAGAGCCGACGCCUGACCCAUCGAAACAGAUUCAAAAAUUUUGUCUUCAGUUUUCUGCCAUCCAAGUGUAAUCCAUAAGCAUGGAGCCUAUGGUGACUAGCUCCACAGCCUUCGACAGAGAGACUUUCACCAGGAAAGCUGUGCGACCACCCAGAGGAGCCUCGUCUCAUUUUGUGGGGAGCUCGAUCAUAAUCCUGUCCUCGUUCGCAGUCUCCAGUUUAGCUAUGAACUUUGGGAAGCGGAUCCAGGAGUCCAGACACAAACCCAACGGGAACUAGCAACAGUCGACAGAUGGAUAUCCCUUAAUAUCUUUUUAGUUAACCUCCUUCAAGACAUCAAGUCAAUGUAGAAUUUAUUUUAACGAUGAUGUGAUGGACACCCCUUCAAAGUCUGGAGAAAAAAACCUGGAGUCAGAAGAGGAUGAAGCUCUCUUGGAAUGAAGGAGAGAUCAACAACAGAAGAACAACACUGCCUGCUGGGAUUUCUAAGACGAGCAUUUGGAAAACACCUCGAGAUUGAUCGAUGCGACGCCAAGCUCACUCUCUUGGAUUAAAACAGAUUACAAUUGUUGUUUAGAGAGGGGAGGAAGAUGCAGUAAUACCAUUAAACCUUUUGUCUCGUACUUCUAUCAGUAGUCUCAACAUGUAAAUGAUAGAAUAGAGAAAGUUGUAGGCUCACUGAUGGUGACACUUGUCAUUUAUGGCCAUUAUAUGUCAAAGGUGGUAGAACGAGUUGUAAUAUCAGUACAUAAGUAUUUGAAUAAAAUCAAACCUUCUUUAAGAAAAGUUUCCUCAGUUUUCUUACAAUUGAAUUUCUGUACUAAAUUAAUAUCAACUGAAAUACAACCAUCAAAAACCAUUGAAUACCAAAAGAAGCAUUUAGUGUGAAAAUCUUACUCAUUUUUGGUUUGACACUUGAUUAAAUAGUAUAUUUCAUUUGACCAAUAUUAUAUCCAUAAGACUGCUUGUGACAUUUAAGAACUUAAGCCCCCUCCUUUAAAAGAAAAAGAUUUGUAGAAAUUACUGUAAAUACCCCUGUAAAAGUAUUUAUUUGGUAUUGGUACUGAAACUCAAGUUUAACACUAUAACUGACCUACAAUCCACAAUAAACAUAAGUUACAGUGUAAGUGCAGUACUUUAAGUUAAAAAAUAGGUCAUUUAUAAAGAGAAACUAUUUCCAUGUUUGAAAUCCAUAUUACGUAUUAACAGGUUUUCGGUAUACACAAUGGGAAACACCAUAACAUUUUAUAAACACAAUAAACACUUUUUUGAGUCAAUA